GUCAGGAUGGCCGAGUGGUCUAAGGUGACAGACUCAAGUUCUGGUCGCCUGCAGGUGGCGUGGGUUCAAUUCCCAUUCCUGACA